AUACGGAGGAUGCGAGCGUUAUCCGGAUUUAUUGGGUUUAAAGGGAGCGUAGGUGGGAUAUUAAGUCAGCUGUGAAAGUUUGGGGCUCAACCUUAAAAUUGCAGUUGAUACUGGUUUCCUUGAGUACGGUACAGGUGGGCGGAAUUCGUGGUGUAGCGGUGAAAUGCUUAGAUAUCACGAAGAACUCCGAUCGCGAAGGCAGCUCACCGGGCCGGAACUGAUACUGAUGCUCGAAAGUGCGGGUAUCAAACAGGAUUAGAUACCCUGGUAGUCCGCACAGUAAACGAUGAAUACUCGCUGUUUGCGAUACACGGUAAGCGGCCAAGCGAAAGCGUUAAGUAUUCCACCUGGGGAGUACGCCGGCAACGGUGAAACUCAAAUGAAUUGACGGGG
rnacentral:rRNA from 1 species